CAGAAUCAACGUUUCAACUAACUCGGCAGUGGUAAGAGCAGUGAAGUAAGAUCGCUCAUACUUAAUGCGCUUGUGUCGUGUUCUCUGUUCUAGGAGCCUACGAGUUUGGAUCGAAUUCGUUAGCAAUCUGAGAAAGAUCCCAGGUAAGAAGUAGUCAAUUGGAUCUGCUCGUUAUAAUGUGUGAUUGGUUUUUUUUUUUUUUUUUCAAGCGAAAAAUAAGAACGAAGAGAGGAAGAAGAAGAGAAGAAGAAGAGAAGAAGCGAGCUCUGGACAUUGGAUUGGAAUGGUGGAAGUCUCCAAAUUUGAUGCUAUAGCCGACACUAUAGAAUGGAAGUCUCCUUUAAAUUGUUUACUGGCAUUGUUAUGUAUGGAAGUCUCUUAUCUCGCUA
rnacentral:lncRNA from 1 species